UUCCCUACGGGGCGCAGCAGGCGCGAAAUCUUUACAAUGCGGGAAACCGCGAUAAGGGGACACCGAGUGCCAGCAUUUAUGUUGGCUGUCCACAUGUGUAAACGGCAUGUGUUAGCAAGGGCCGGGCAAGACCGGUGCCAGCCGCCGCGGUAACACCGGCGGCCCGAGUGGUAAUCACUUUUAUUGGGUCUAAAGGGUCCGUAGCCGGUUUGAUCAGUUCUUCGGGAAAUCUGACAGCUCAACUGUUAGGCUUCCGGGGAAUACUGUCAGACUUGGGACCGGGAGAGGUAAGAGGUACUACAGGGGUAGGAGUG
rnacentral:rRNA from 1 species